rnacentral:rRNA from 1 species
CACGUAGGGUGCGAGCGUUAAUCGGAAUUACUGGGCGUAAAGCGUGCGCAGGCGGUUUUGUAAGCCAGAUGUGAAAUCCCCGGGCUUAACCUGGGAAUGGCAUUUGGGACUGCAAGGCUGGAGUGUGGCAGAGGAGACUGGAAUUCCUGGUGUAGCAGUGAAAUGCGUAGAUAUCAGGAGGAAUACCGAUGGCGAAGGCAGGUCUCUGGGCUGACACUGACGCUCAUGCACGAAAGCGUGGGGAGCAAACAGG